GCCUAGCUAGCUCAGUUGGUAGAGCAUGAGACUUUUAAUCUCAGGCUCGUGGGUUCGAGCCCCACGCUGUGUG